CGUUCCCGUGUAGGGAUUAGCCACCCACUACGCGCCCGCCCCGUGCUCGACGUGCAUUCCUCAGCCCCCGCGCCCCCUCCGCUCUCUCCUCCCCCUCCUCGUCCCUGUCCCAACCCUAAUCCUUUUCCCUCUCCACCCCGCAGCCGCCCCCUAGCUCCUCGUCCCCUUCACUCAGUCCAUCCCUCCUCAUCCCAGAUCCAGCGGAUCCGAGGCGUGCAGACACGGAGGCGAGUUUCUCUGGCGCCGGUGGCAACCUGCAAGCAAAGGGCGGCGGCGGCGCUCGAUUUGAUCUGCAGGAGAGAGAGAGAUGGAGAGGAGGGACGCCACCAUGGGAGAACAGGGCCAACUUCGUGGUGGGCAUGGAGGCGCAGAGGAGGAUGGCGAUGGGGGAUGGGAGCAGAGUAGCAGGACUUCCAGGCGGUGCUCGCGUCAUGGUGGAGUGGAGGAGCUCGUCGUCCAUCAUCACAAUCCACAAUCUAGAUCUGAGAUAGAAAAGAAGAGAAAGAAUCUUGUGGAAUUUCAGAUCUGAGAUAGGAACGGGGAGAAAGAAUCUUGUGAAAGAGCCUGACGAAAAAGAAAGGGGUGAAUCACCACUUUCUCCCAUUCAUGUUUGUUUCUGCAUUUUAUUUUUAAGAUGCAGGUUGGCCAACUGUAACAAUAGAAAUAUAUGUGCAAUUUUUGUUUGUGUACUUCAAUAAAAAUAUAUUUUCACUUGACCUCGAGGGCGGUUGCAUCCAGUUAUUGUUUCCGGGAGAUUUAUUGGUGAAGGUCUAAAUAUUUUAAGAUAUAUUGACGAGAUAUCACUCAUGAAGGAAUGCUCAAGGGCAUAAGAUCUAAUGUUCUUCAUGUUAUACAGUCAUCUGGUAUAAAUUGCUAGAGUAGAUAAGAAACAGAUUUCCAACAUAAUAAACAGCUCACAUUCCUUGGUAUUGGCAUAUGGUUCUGAAACUUAAUAUGCACAAUAGAGUAUGUAUUGCAGUCUGGAUUAUAUCAAAGUUUGGUUCAAAAUGAACAAACAUCAGCAUUGUAUCCGUACUGGAUGCAAGUGAUUUGAAUUUUUUCAGUCAGUUAACAAGCAGUUUUCCAAUUAACAAAACGACAGUGUAGAAGCUCUUUUACUAAUGAGAUACAUAAGGUGCAUAAUACUGGUUCAAACAGCAGCAGUUUUUCAACCAGUUAACAAACAGUAGAAGUUUUACUACUGAGAUAAGCACCAGUUUUUCAGUGUACAAACAACAGCAGUUUUACUACUGAGAUAAGCAGCAAUUUUUCAGUCAGCUAACAAGCAACAGUUUUGCAGUAACAUCUUUCAUGUAUACUUCCAAUGCAUAAACAUGAGCAGAGAUACGCUACAAUUUAGGCAAAGAAUGAAUCAAAAAAUUGCAGAGAAGCAGCAAAAUAAGUUCCUUCUUUGAGAGAAUGCAAAUCAGAUAUGUUUGUUUCAGGGUUCAGACUUCAAGAUAACUAAAAUGCAUCCCCUAACUUUUUUUUAGGCAAGAUCCAGUUUCAUUUCUUAUAUUUGUGCUUCUUCAUUGAGUGAUCUCCAACUUUCUAUUGUUUACAAAUUCCAAAUAGAGCUCCUGGUUUGCUGUGUUGAUUGGUACCAUACAUAAGUUGAACUUUGUUUUCAAAUGGAAGGACCUAAUAAUCUACUUCUUAUAUUAUGGGACGGAGUAGUAACAUGUAUGUGUGGCGGCACAAGGAGCAUUUCCUUCUGAAAAAAUAAUAUUAAAGAUAAGUCAAUGACACAAAGUACUGAAUAAAUCAAUACUUCUAAUGAUCUAUAUGAUACAUACUUUCCAUGUUACCUCUACUAUAUAGUUUUACAGUACAAUGUCACAUUUCUGAUCUGUAGUGUACCUCAGUUACUAGCAUGAUAUAAAGUUUAUGGAUAAUUGCCAACAGAGUUCUCAUAUGUUUCUAUGUAUCUGAAUGUUCACAUUCAUCAAGUUUAAGCUUUAUGUAUAGCUUAUGUCUUUGAAGUUAAGCAGUCACACAGUCGUAGGUCCACCGUUUCAUGAUUUUUAAUUUGCUAACUGGGUAAAAGAUUCCUUGUCCUUGGUGAGAUACAUGAAUUCACAUUGUUUCGUACCAGAUGUACGAAGAACAAAGAUAUCUUUCUUUAUCUUUAUUUUCCUCGACUACAUAUUAUUUAACCGUGUCAUGUUUAUAACCUACUUGACAUCGAUACGGUUCUAUGAGAGGUCAUUGCUUAUGCAUCAGUCCUCAAGGUGGAUGUUGUUCAUUUAGAUAUUACAUUUUGUUGCCAUGUUUCCACAUUAGUCAAAAGUGUUCAUCUCAAUAAUUUAUUAAGAGUGGCUUCGAAUAAUAUGGCAUCAAAACGUUUGUUUUCUCUCCAACCAAUAAUGAAAUGAUAUCUGUGCAUAUAAAACGGCUACCAAUUCUUGGUUUUUAUUAGCUUCUUGAAAAAGGGGCGCAACAGGUCAAUGGACUAUUGUAUUGCUGAUGAUAAUGUUGUUUCGUGUAGAAAGGAAUUUUCUCCUUGCUUUCAUAUGUCGAUAUCAACUCACUGCUUGAUUCAGGUGCUUUUUCGUGUAGAUAGGGUGACAGGAAUAUUCCUGUUAUAUAUUUACCAGUUAGCACACAUAAUCUGGUACUCUGAUUUCUUUGACACUUUUCUCUUCACGAUGUAGUCAAGGCAAAAGGCAUUAGGAGACCUCCAAUCUGCAGAAUGGCAUGGUAUGAAUACAUGUGACACCCGCUGUUCAUUUCACUGCUUUUAUAAAAUUUAUGCAUUCUUCCUUCACUUUUUUGUACUUACAUGUUUUGCGCUGUUGAGUUAACUCAGUUGUAGAUAACAAUUUUGCUCUGUAUUCACUUUAGCUAACAUUUUUUUUGCUACUGUUAAAACAUAUACUGCUUUUUAAGGGAAGCAUAACUAUUGUUUUAUUUUAUUAACCCUAGAUGUUCCUGAACUCUCCGACGGCCCGAACCGGCAGGCAGAAAAAAAAGAGAACACGCCCAAUCCAGGAACCACCCUCCACCUUCCCCGAACCACUCGAAUCCCGCACCUCUCACUCUCUCCCGAUCCCCCAUGGCGCCGCCGCCGCUACCUGCCCCACGCCGUCGUUGCUACGACCUGCCCAGACCACCGCCUCGCCAUCUGCCCCGCACCGCCCACCACCGCAAUUCAGCCAUCAAAAAAUCGGGCGCCGCCACCCGUUUCUCCUACCGCUGCUCGCCUUCUAGUACCAUGUCCCUCUCAAGUCUCCCCCACGCAGGCCCCGCCGUGCAUCCGAUGACCCUACAACAACCAUGGAUGCGGGAGGAGAGGUCGCCGGAUCCCAGUGCGCUGCCGCCUACCCAGGCGCCUCCACUGGGCACCGCUACCUCGCGGCCAAGCGCAGCAACCAACCGCCGGAGCACGCACCAUCCGACGCCCUCGCGUCAGCGCACCACCCCUGCUUCCUCUGUAGCCAUGCAUCACGCGUUGAGCACCACCAGCAGGUUCCGUCCCCCUCCUCCUCGAUGUGAAGGGGAGACGACCCCCAACUCCGGCGAGCCCAGAAAAUGACCUUCCCCGUGGCGCAUGUCUGAACUGCAACCUCGAUCUUCUUCCUCUGGAGUUAAAGCAACUGAUGCUAGCAAUUUGUUGAUGCUGCUCCUCCUCCUGCUCGUGUAGGCCGAGCUGCUCCCUCGAGCUUUGCUGCCCUUCUGCCUCCAUCCUCUCCCCACGAACUACCAGAACCAGAGCUGAGGGAAGCUGCAGUAGCAGCUGGGAGCAAGUCGCUCAAAAGAAUUGGAAGAUGCUCGUCUUUUUAGCCGCGAAAUAUGCAGUGUCGGUAUGGUCGACAAAAAAAUGGACAUGACCCUGGAGUGGCUUCUUACCACUACUACAACGACCUUGUUGUUAACAUCAUUCGUCCACUCUACACGUCAGAAGUUAUCUUCUUCCCACAAGACAUUCAGCCAGUGUGUUUACUGUUCUUGUUGUGCUUCUACCACCAGAUUGCUCUCUUCCCCCUUCGGCCCUUCGUGUGGUGAUUUUGCUGCACCUGUGACGAGGAACAAGCAAAUUCUCGCAAGCACACUUCAGCUCCGAAUGAAACCUGACGCACGAUCCGCUAGUCAACAGUGAGGAGACUGAAAGAAGUAGCAUCAGAGAGGAAGGUAAGUCCAGAGGCACUGAUGUCUUAAAUCACACCGUUUUGAAACAAACCGACGAUCAUUACCAAGCUUUCUUCAAGGAAAAAGAACCAGGACAAGACCGAUAUUGAUGGAGCGUUUUUGACCAUAAGUUGUUUCUCUAGUUUAAAUACUGAUGACAGCCAGUCUCCCUGCUUCUUGCCCCAUUUUGUUUGGUGAUGUGUAUCUAAUGUGUACGACAUUCGUAAGAUCAGCUCCCCCUUUUAGCAAGUUACUAGAAGCCGAGAACGGCUGUAGUGCUUAGAUUGUUCUUGUUCUGAGUUGGAGAAGCUAGAGGCACCAAGCAAAAAUGUGGGUCACUCUUUUCGGUGGCAAACAACGUUGCCAGUGAGCAAUAAUUUUUGAAGGGAAGGAACCACAUUUGAGUAUCCGGUUGAUAAAUUUGCAAUUAAGCUAGCGUCUGGCUGGCUGCUGGUGGAAGGCUUGCGAUUCUAAAGAAUCUUUGAUGCAAUGUUGUUUGCCCUGACUGUUCGCUUCCCUGACUUAGCCAACGGCUGAAAUAAAAGACAUUUCAUUUCCAA